GGAAUCUUCGGCAAUGGACGAAAGUCUGACCGAGCAACGCCGCGUGAGUGAAGAAGGUUUUCGGAUCGUAAAACUCUGUUGUUAGAGAAGAACAAGGGUGAGAGUAACUGUUGACCCCUUGACGGUAUCUAACCAGAAAGCCACGGCUAACUACGUGCCAG
rnacentral:rRNA from 1 species